rnacentral:lncRNA from 1 species
GGAUGACAAAAACUAUUUAAUCCAAAAUCAGUGGGCUGGAGUCAGCCCAAAAAGAGGUAGGUCUUCUCCCGUUUCGGGCCAACUACUUCAAAUAAAAUGGCCCAAAAGCGAUCUCCAGGCCAUCUCAUCUCUCGGAUGAGAUCGCCUUCAUGAAACUUCCUCCAGAAUGGUGCGCUGGCAAUUGGAUUAGCUAAAUUAGGACCUCUAGCCAUUGAAAAAUCCAAAAAUCUGGGUUACAAAAGGCUGACUGAAGCUGGAUUACAGUCCAUGGAACUCACGGGUCAAAUUAGAAGUCUCGAAGUGGUGGUGGUGGCUUCUCUCAACUUGUUGAGUGUUCUUUUGGAGAAGAAAUUAAUUAGCCUUCAUCAAAUUUCAAUGGGUUUGGAGGAAAUAAGUAGCAACGAAGGUGGAGGGGUUUUUAAGCCCUACAAUGGUGGGGAGUUUGGUGAUACGCUAGGAUUGUUAAUUACUAAUUCGAUAAUAGUACAAGAAGGGGUGACUGAGUUGAUUGGUUGUGGUACUAUGCAACAUUGUAUUUUGAUUUGGCAGGUUCAACUUUUGGAACACUGGCGAACGGGUACGACCGGCUAUGGGAUUUUUAUGGAUUGAAUUUUAACGAUAGGUGGGCUGUUGACUACACAGGCUAAUAGCCACAACAAGCUUACUGCAAAAAUGGUUCAACUAAAUGGAAACCCGAA